rnacentral:rRNA from 1 species
UACGGAGGGUGCGAGCGUUGUCCGGAAUUAUUGGGCGUAAAGAGCUCGUAGGCGGCUUGUCGCGUCGGAUGUGAAAGCCCGGGGCUUAACUCCGGGUCUGCAUUCGAUACGGGCAGGCUAGAGUUCGGUAGGGGAGAUCGGAAUUCCUGGUGUAGCGGUGAAAUGCGCAGAUAUCAGGAGGAACACCGGUGGCGAAGGCGGACCUCUGGGCCGAUACUGACGCUGAGGAGCGAAAGCGUGGGGAGCGAACAGG